GAUGAACGCUGGCGGCGUGCCUAAUACAUGCAAGUCGAGCGAACGGACGAGAAGCUUGCUUCCCUGAUGUUAGCGGCGGACGGGUGAGUAACACGUGGAUAACCUACCUAUAAGACUGGGAUAACUUCGGGAAACCGGAGCUAAUACCGGAUAAUAUUUUGAACCGCAUGGUUCAAAAGUGAAAGGCGGUCUUGCUGUCACUUAUAGAUGGAUCCGCGCUGCAUCAGCUAGUUGGUAAGGUAACGGCUUACCAAGGCAACGAUGCAUAGCCGACCUGAGAGGGUGAUCGGCCACACUGGAACUGAGACACGGUCCAGACUCCUACGGGAGGCAGCAGUAGGGAAUCUUCCGCAAUGGGCGAAAGCCUGACGGAGCAACGCCGCGUGAGUGAUGAAGGUCUUCGGAUCGUAAAACUCUGUUAUUAGGGAAGAACAUAUGUGUAAGUAACUGUGCACAUCUUGACGGUACCUAAUCAGAAAGCCACGGCUAACUACGUG
rnacentral:rRNA from 1 species